rnacentral:rRNA from 1 species
GACGAACGCUGGCGGCGUGCUUAACACAUGCAAGUCGAACGGAAAGGCCCUGCUUUUGUGGGGUGCUCGAGUGGCGAACGGGUGAGUAACACGUGAGUAACCUGCCCUUGACUUUGGGAUAACUUCAGGAAACUGGGGCUAAUACCGGAUAGGAGCUCCUGCUGCAUGGGGGGGGUUGGAAAGUUUCGGCGGUUGGGGAUGGACUCGCGGCUUAUCAGCUUGUUGGUGGGGUAGUGGCUUACCAAGGCUUUGACGGGUAGCCGGCCUGAGAGGGUGACCGGCCACAUUAGGACUGAGAGACGGCCCAGUCUCGUACGGGAGGCAGCAGUGGGGAAUAUUGCACAAUGGGCGGGAGCCUGUUGCAGCGACGCCGCGUUCGGGAUGACGGCCUUCGGGUUGUAAACCGCUUUCGCCUGUGACGAAGCGUGCGUGACGGUAAUGGGUAAAGAAGCACCGGCUAACUACGUG